GUCGGCAGUGGAAACUGGAUAGCUAGAGGUCGGUAGGGGCAGAGGGAAUUCCCAGUGUAGCGGUGAAAUGCGUAGAUAUUGGGAAGAACACCGGUGGCGAAAGCGCUCUGCUGGGCCGAACCUGACGCUGAGGGACGAAAGCUAGGGGAGCGAAUGGGAUUAGAUACCCCAGUAGUCCUAGCCGUAAACGAUGGAAACUAGGUGUGGCCUGUAUCGACCCGGGCCGUGCCGAAGCUAACGCGUUAAGUUUCCCGCCUGGGGAGUACGCACGCAAGUGUGAAACUCAAAGGAAUUGACGGGGGCCCGCACAAGCGGUGGAGUAUGUGGUUUAAU
rnacentral:rRNA from 1 species